GGUGACAGAGCAAGACUCCGUCUCAAAAAAAGAAAAAGAAGAAUGUAUUUUUUACAACACAAUCAAAUCAAUGCCUUAAAACUAGGCUGUCAUCACAUUUUUCCCCCCGUUUUACAUACUUAAAUUGGCUAAAUCAAGAAUAGGGGCUGGCUCUCAGUCCCUACCUCGUGGGGGGUGCCUCCCCUCCCUGCGAUGGGGGUCCUAAGAGCCUGGGGCGGAAGAGGGGCUGGCUCUCAGCCACCACAAAAUGGGGAGCCUUUAUGUUCAGGUUUUGCCCAAGAGUCAGCUUAUUUGCUUCUGGUACUAGCAGGGCAGUUGAUGCCGUGGCCUUCAAACAUGGGGGCCAUCCUUUAGAAACCCUUUCUAUUUGUUUAGACACGUAGGCCACCGGCCUCAGCCAGGGCCCCAGAGUUUCGGUUAAAAUUCCAGCUGCCAUCUUUUCUCUAUCUGACGCAUUCAAUGGAAAAGGCUUUGUCAGAUCUGGUAGCCCCGGGGCUGGGGCUGCCAGAAGUUUUUCCUUUAACUCAUGAAAGACUUGCUGUUGUUGGGAUCCCCAUUCUAAAGGUUCCCGGUCCCCGCCCCCUUUGUGACCUCAUACAAAGACUUGGCUAAUACUGCAAAGUUUGGGAUGCACAGUCUACAAAACCCCACAGCCCCUAAGAAUUCCCUCACCUGCCUUCUGCCCUUAGGCUCCGGUAGAUUGCAAAUGACCUGCUUUCUUUCUGUUCCCGGGCGUUUGGACCCCUGUCUUGGACCGCUGUCGGAUAGUAAAUCCCAAGUAAGGUACCUGCCGUCGGCAGAUUUGAGCUUUCUUCUUGGACACCUAAUACCCAGAGUCCUCCAGGCUCCGGUAGAUUGCAAAUGACCUGCUUUCUUUCUGUUCCCGGGCGGCAUCGGACCCGUCGGAGAGUAAAUCCCAAGUAAGGUACCUGCCGUUGGCAGAUUUGAGCUUUCUUCUUGGACACCUAAUACCCACAGUCCUCCAGGCUCCGGUAGAUUGCAAAUGACCUGCUUUCUUUCUGUUCCCGGGUGGCAUCGACCCGUCGGAGAGUAAAUCCCAAGUAAGGUACCUGCCGUUGGCAGAUUUGAGCUUUCUUCUUGGACACCUAAUACCCACAGUCCUCCAGGCUCCGGUAGAUUGCAAAUGACCUGCUUUCUUUCUGUUCCCGGGCUGCGUUCGGACCCCUGUCGGAUAGUAACUCCCAAGUAAGGUACCUGCCGUCGGCAGAUUGGAGCUUUCUUCUUGGAGACCUAAUACCCACAGUCCUCCAGAAAAACAAACAAAGACAUGGAUUUACUGUGCAUAUUAGCAGAUCCAUACUGGAAAAUGCAUGGAGGUUUCAUAUACACCACUUACAGAUGCAGAAAGGCAGUGAACUCCUCCGGAGUAGCUGUCAGGUCACCAUUGAGGUCUGCAGCUUUGAAUCUUCUCUCAUCACGUGGCAGCAUCUUUUUAAAGGUGUGAUGAUCUGAAGAAUCAUGAAACUCUGCGGGGUUUCCUAGGUUUUCAGCUCCUCAGUAGUGACAAAGCCAUACCCAUCAUUGUCGAUUCGAUCAACAAUCUUCCCUAGCCUCUCCUUGCUCUCGUCCGGGGUGAGCUCGUCGAAGUUCUUGGAGUCCUCCUUGCCCAGGAAGGCCUCGUGGUCGUACUGGAAGCUCUGGUUGUCCUCAGGGGGCCGCUCGCCCAGCUCCGAGUCGGGCCGCACCACGCGCUCUUUGCGCACCGUGGGCUUGGCCCGCAGAACCCGCGGCGCCAGCACCAGCGCCAGCAGCAGCCCCAGGGCUAACCCCAGGCGGCCACCGCGCGCCAUCGUCCCGAGGAGAGGGCGGCCGGGAGGGAGACGCUGAGCGAGCGACAACAGCGGCAGCUCGGGAAUGGGGGCUCGGAGCGCGGCGGCCAAGUUUUAUGUUAUGUAUAUUUUACAAGUAAAAAAAUUUUUUCACCUCAGCCUGAACUGAACACUAGCUGACAGACGUUUUGAUUUCUUUGACCAUCACGGAAUCGUGGCCAAGCGCGGUGGCUCACAUCUGUAAUCCCAACACUUUGGGAGGUCAAGAUGGGCGGAUUGCUUGAAUCCAGGUGUUUGAGAUCAGCCUGGGCAACAUGACAAAACCCUGUUUCUAGUAAAAAUACAAAAAUUAACCAGGCUCAAGCCAUGACCAUGCACCAUUGC
rnacentral:lncRNA from 1 species